AGUGAACGCUGGCGGUAGGCCUAACACAUGCAAGUCGAACGGCAGCACAGUAAGAGCUUGCUCUUACGGGUGGCGAGUGGCGGACGGGUGAGGAAUACAUCGGAAUCUACUUUUUCGUGGGGGAUAACGUAGGGAAACUUACGCUAAUACCGCAUACGACCUACGGGUUAAAUCAGGGGAUCUUCGCACCUUGCCCGAUUGAAUGAGCCGAUGUCGGAUUAGCUAGUUGGCAGGGUAAAGGCCCACCAAGGCGACGAUGCGUAGCUGGUCUGAGAGGAUGAUCAGCCACACUGGAACUGAGACACGGUCCAGACUCCUACGGGAGGCAGCAGUGGGGAAUAUUCGGCAAUGGGCGAAAGCCUGACGCAGCAACGCCGCGUGAGUGAAGAAGGUCUUCGGAUCGUAAAGCUCUGUUAUUAGGGAAGAACAGAAGUGGGUGUAACUAUGGACGUCUUGACGGUACCUAAUCAGAAAGCCACGGCUAACUACGUG
rnacentral:rRNA from 1 species